rnacentral:rRNA from 1 species
GAUGAACGCUGGCGGCGUGCCUAAUACAUGCAAGUCGAGCGAACGGACGAGAAGCUUGCUUCUCUGAUGUUAGCGGCGGACGGGUGAGUAACACGUGGAUAACCUACCUAUAAGACUGGGAUAACUUCGGGAAACCGGAGCUAAUACCGGAUAAUAUUUUGAACCGCAUGGUUCAAAAGUGAAAGCGGGUCUUGCUGUCACUUAUGGAUGGAUCCGCGCUGCAUUAGCUAGUUGGUAAGGUAACGGCUUACCAAGGCAACGAUGCAUAGCCGACCUGAGAGGGUGAUCGGCCACACUGGAACUGAGACACGGUCCAGACUCCUACGGGAGGCAGCAGUAGGGAAUCUUCCGCAAUGGGCGAAAGCCUGACGGAGCAACGCCGCGUGAGUGAUGAAGGUCUUCGGAUCGUAAAACUCUGUUAUUAGGGAAGAACAUAUGUGUAAGUAACUGUGCACAUCUUGACGGUACCUAAUCAGAAAGCCACGGCUAACUACGU